GCCCAGUGGAAAACUUGCUCAGUCCUGCUGUUCUAUGACAAAAGAUGUGAUGCUUUAACUCCGGGAAGUAACAGACAGCACAGACCUGACCAUAUCAGAAUAUCAACAUUACCUAUGAUUGUCAUAGGAUCACUUCAAAAAAGGGGCAACGAGACAGAUCAUAAUGUGAGAAGUGGAAACUCCUUAAGAACAAGGAAAAUCUUUAUAAUCCUGCUGAAGAAGCUCCCUGAAUAUCUGGAUCUAAGAAUGACCCGAAGGUUUACCAAGUUCCAGAUUAGAGUCCAUCCCUGAUCCUUACGCGUGCGUGGGUGCACUCAAAUCUCAUUUCUGCCCAGCUGUCUUAUUCCUGCUUAAUUUUCCUCAACUAAGACCUGUGCAGAAGGAAGAGUUAAGUCUGUCUUCAGAAGAUUCUGUCUGACUGAGUUUCUGGAAUUUGGAGUUUAUUGGUCUCCAGCCAACAUCACUUACCCUCAUAAAUAUGGACCACAAAGCCUUUUCUGCCCCCGCGAUGGAGCUCAUGAACUGAGAGAGGAAUUAUCAUGAAGCCAAGUAGCAAGGGACACAGCUCAUACCUCAAGAGGGAGCUGAAUGAAAUUUCAGUUUCAAAGAAUGGGAAAAUGUGAGCUCCAGGCCAGAAGUAGCUGGAUCAAGAGAGUUUGUCUAGUGGUCUAGUGGCUUCAAAAAAAUCAUAGCUCAUGAAAAUUUUCUUCAACAGAAAAAUGUCCUGCCGUAGAAAUUACCAGGAAUCAAACUCACGACCUUGUGCUUUCCAGGCAGGCACUGUCCCGCUAAGCUAAAUCCCCAGCCCCCUCACUUGUUUUCCUAUUGGCAGAGUUCAACAGGAAAAGCACAAGAUUAUAUUCCAGGUAUAAUAUAAGCAACUUUAAAGAAGUUCCUACAAUAUUCCAGGGAUACUAUGAAUAGGUGAUAAAUGGCUCACAGGCCCAGAAGAUCUGGUUAUAAUUCUAAGCUCCUUCACUGUUCCAACAGUUUCCUGUGGCCUGAAAGCCAAGGUCUUCUUGACUGUAAAAAGGCCGGGAGAGUGCAUACAAACUCCACUUCACUGCAUUUAGUGGACAACUUCCGUUUGAGAAAAAUGAACAUAGAAUACCAACCAGGGUCUGUUUCUCACAGGAGACAGUGACAACAGUUGUUCUAAAGCUCCUAUGUGAGGAUUAUAAAUCUGUGCUUUGGAUCCUCCUAUAUCAUUGAAGGUGGAUGUAGAUUAUUCUUCCUGGACAUUUUCAUCAGCAGCAUCCAGUAAGGCAUGAUGAUAGUUAUCCAAAUGUAACAGAUAUGAUAGGUCCCUAUUCAAACUUAGUUUUUCUCUUGCUACUGCAGUUAAAUUUUUUUCAGGCCAUCCUCUUGGUAAAAUGAUGCAGUUUUUUUGCUCCAGACAUUACAGUAGAAGCCAUGGGAAAUACCUUUGUUUGCUUCGUUUAUUUAUUUUUCUGGUAGCUCUGGAGUUGUCAUCAUUUGAGCAAAGAAAGACCCUUGAUCUGAGUUCACUGAUGGACAAGAUGUUGUCUUUCUUACCCCUUUGACAGCUGACACUAUGUCUGCUUUUCUUAACUUAUCUGUAUCAUCUGUUCUUAUUUUGUCAGAAAAAAGAAAAAAAUGACAUUGUCAUAAAUUGAUAUUUAUAUUGCACUAACUUGUCAGAGGAAAAAAAAAUCCAGUUGUUGAAGAUUUGAAGGAAUUAAACCGUUGUGCAGAUAUGUGAAAGUAAUUAAGAACCCUAUUACCAAAAAUGUAUUUUAAUAAAUAAACUUCUUACCUUGAGUCUGGUAAA